UCACGUGAUACUCACAGGGGCGGGAAACACACACAGCUGGCCUGACUCACACUGCACUGUACUUCAGAGCGCGUUUUUGUGGCUAAAAAGUGAGAAAUUAAGCAGUAAACGAGUUAAAAAGUAACUGAAGGAACUUUUUGAAGGAGCACGUUAUUGUUUUUGCACAGUGGACUAAUUUCGGACCCUCACCGGAGCACGAGGACGCCGCAGCUGAUUAGAACCGAAGCAGGGCCACGCCCGCCAGUGUCCAUUUGGAUGGAUUCUCUUUGGUCUUCAGGUUGAACGUCCACACGUAUGUGGGCCCCCUCUGUCUGGUCUUGUAGACGGGACACUGAUACACGUUCCGCGUCUCCUGCUUGUCAACAGGUACUGCCUUUAUGAAAAUCACUGGGAUGGCUGGGGUCAGCUCUUUCAGGCGGGCAUCCACUAUUACUCCAGCCU